rnacentral:tRNA from 1 species
AGAAACAUCAGUGGCCAACAAUCUCAGAUUGUUGAGCUGCAUUGGCGGGAUUUCGCCGUCUUCGUUUCUCUUUCUUCGCGGACGAACACGCGCUGGGGCUGCAAGUUUGCGAGUCCCUUGACUGGAUAUGCGUUAGGGGCUUGUAGCUCAGUUGGUUAGAGCGCGCGCUUGAUAAGCGUGAGGUCGGAAGUUCAAGUCUUCCCAGGCCCACCAUUCGUCUUCUGGUACGGGGCCAUAGCUCAGCUGGGAGAGCGCGUGCUUUGCAAGCAUGAGGUCGUCGGUUCGAUCCCGUCUGGCUCCACCAGAUGGUUUAUCAUCGAUCGUGCACCCGUCCGCGAAACAUCACUUCGCACUUGCUAGUCUGGAUAGACAGCAAGUUGCGUGAUUUCUGACAUCGUAAAGAGGAGAUCGAUCCGAGUUGGAUCGUGCAGCAAAUUGCUACGCGAGUUCAUUAUCUCCGGAUCAUUUCGGCGCUCGGGGCAGCUCACAAGGCUGCUUCCGAGUUGUAAAUGAUCCUUUUAGCGGAGCUUGACCGCCUCGCUAUCGGAACGAUCUUACGAAGCAAGCUGGUCUUUCUAAUCAUUGUCCGGCUGCAGAUAGCGUUCAUCGAGGGCGCGUGCCGCAAUAAUUCUGCAGACAACAUUCUGCCGAGUGUGUGGACAUUGAUAAUGAGAGC